rnacentral:rRNA from 1 species
GAGUUUGAUCGUGGCUCAGGACGAACGCUGGCGGCGUGCCUAAUACAUGCAAGUCGAGCGGAUCUUCAUUAGCUUGCUUUUGAAGAUCAGCGGCGGACGGGUGAGUAACACGUGGGCAACCUGCCUGUAAGACUGGGAUAACUUCGGGAAACCGGAGCUAAUACCGGAUAAUCCUUUUCCUCUCAUGAGGAAAAGCUGAAAGACGGUUUCGGCUGUCACUUACAGAUGGGCCCGCGGCGCAUUAGCUAGUUGGUGAGGUAACGGCUCACCAAGGCGACGAUGCGUAGCCGACCUGAGAGGGUGAUCGGCCACGACUGGGACUGGAGACACGGCCCAGACUCCUACGGGAGGCAGGCAGUAGGGAAUCUUCCGCAAUGGACGAAAGUCUGACGGAGCAACGCCGCGUGAGCGAUGAAGGCCUU